UACGUAGGGGGCAAGCGUUGUCCGGAUUCAUUGGGCGUAAAGAGCGUGUAGGCGGCCAGGUAGGUCGGUUGUGAAAACUGGAGGCUCAACCUUCAGAGGUCGACCGAAACCAUCUGGCUAGAGUCCGGGAGAGGAGAGUGGAAUUCCUGGUGUAGCGGUGAAAUGCGCAAAUAUCAGGAAGAACACCCGUGGCGAAAGCGGCUCUCUGGAACGGUACUGACGCUGAGACGCGAAAGCGUGGGGAGCGAACAGG
rnacentral:rRNA from 1 species